CUACGGAGGGUGUAAGCGUUACUCGGAAUCACUGGGCGUAAAGGAUGCGUAGGCUGGAUGUCAAGUUGGAAGUGAAAUCCUAUGGCUUAACCAUAGAACUGCUUCCAAAACUGGCAACCUAGAGUGAGGGAGAGGCAGAUGGAAUUAGUGGUGUAGGGGUAAAAUCCGUAGAUAUCACUAGGAAUACCGAUUGCGAAGGCGAUCUGCUAGAACUCUGCUGACGCUAAGGCAUGAAAGCGUGGGGAGCAAACAGGAUUAGAAACCCGGGUAGUCC
rnacentral:rRNA from 1 species